UACACAACGUGGCUAGACAAUGUUUGCCAAUCAAGGAGAAACGUCGGUGCGUCACGCACGAUCGAUUUGGCAGUAUAAACUCAGCUAGCUUACGGGUGGAGAUAGCGAGCUCGAUCGCUAUCACGUGCAAGUAGCCAGCCGGGGAGUGCUAGCUGUUAACAGUUAUAAUGAUUUAAUAGUCCUCAUCUCAACAGCGGGGCACUUUACGGAAUUAAGGAAGUCCACGCGUGAUUGGUGAAUGGGCCCACUGACUGGCGCGUGCAGUGUCGUGUAAGCAGUCGAGUCCGGUCCGGCCACUCAUCGAGUGACGCAACCAAAUCCGAAUGUCAGAUCGUGGGGUACUUGUGUUCACGAUCCGUUCCGCCGGCUGAUUUCCCGUGGAAUUGUUCCCAAGGUCAUUGACAGCGUUCUCAAGAUCAAGACAGCGGAGGUCCGGAUCGUGCCCUGGUUCUGUCUAGAAACGAUGGCUUGUCUGCUGAUGAUGAGAACUGAUGCACAUUGGAUCAUGGGAUGAACCCCUGCUCAGCAUUCCGCUGUGAUGCAUGCACCAUUGAGGAUGAAAAUGAGAUCGCGGCGAACUCUCUUCCUGUUGCUUUUAACCUUUGUGCUGGCCUGCCUGUUACUUUAUCUACGCAUUUCUCCUAUGAAGGGGACUCGACACCAAAAGUACGACGUAUUCCAAGUACUAAACUCUAGAGUACUGGAUAUAGACAACUACCUCAGGGAUAGCAGAGAGGAAUCUGGGGAGGAUCCCUACAAGAGACACGCCUUCAAUCAAGCCAGGAGUGACAGUGUACCCAUUGAUAGAAACAUUCCCGACACAAGAAACUUUAGGUGCCAAAAUAUAGAUUAUGGUGUUGAAAAUCUUCCUCCUACAUCAGUCAUCAUAACAUUCCACAAUGAGGCAAGGUCAACAUUAUUAAGGACUGUCGCCAGUGUGCUGAACAGAAGUCCUUCACAUCUCAUCCAGGAAAUCAUCCUAGUGGAUGACUUCAGCGAUAACCCUGAAGAUGCUCAGAUUCUCAGUCAGAUCCCCAAGGUGAAAGUACUACGUAAUGACAGGAGAGAAGGUCUUAUACGAUCGCGAGUGCGAGGGGCUGAUGCAGCCAGUGCCAGCAUCCUCACGUUCCUGGACAGUCACUGCGAGGCAAACGUAGACUGGCUGCCUCCACUGCUGCAUAGAGUUCACCAGGACAAUACUCGUGUUGUGAGUCCUAUCAUCGAUGUCAUCAACUUGGAUUCCUUUAAAUACAUAGGUGCUUCUCCCGAUCUUCGAGGAGGUUUUGAUUGGAGCCUACACUUUAAAUGGGAGCACAUGCCAGUGGAUCAGAGGUCAAGGAGAAAAAACUCUAUCGAGCCAAUCAGGACACCCAUGAUUGCAGGUGGACUGUUUGUCAUAAAUAAAGGCUGGUUCAACAAGCUCGGGAAAUACGACACCGAGAUGAACAUAUGGGGAGGGGAAAACUUUGAAAUUUCUUUUCGCGUGUGGCAGUGUGGUGGUAGCCUGGAGAUCAUACCCUGUAGUCGAGUGGGCCAUGUAUUCCGCAAGAAGCAUCCGUACACUUUCCCUGAGGGGAAUGCCAACACCUACAUCAGAAAUACGAGACGAACAGCGGAAGUGUGGAUGGAUGACUACAAACAGUACUUCUACAAUGCUAGGCCUUCAGCUAGGGGAAAACCAUUUGGGAAUGUAGACAGCAGGAGAGAAUUACGGAAGCAGUUGAACUGUAAGCCCUUCCAGUGGUACUUAGAGAAUAUUUAUCCAGAACUCAGAAUUCCCAAACCGGGAAAUGUGCAAUAUGGCAAGCUACAGCAGGGGGACCUCUGUCUGGACUCCACCCCGAGAGCAACCGGAACCACCUGGGCCCCUUCCAUCAUUCCGUGUGAGAUCCAAGAUCAGGAUCAGGCAUGGUCUUUAACCAAAGAGGACACCGUCCAACAACAGUUCCAAUGUUUGACUGUCAGUUCAUCAGUGCCUGAUACCAGAGUCUACCUUACUACUUGCCAAAGUAAUGACAUCAAACAGAAAUGGACAAGGGAGGGCAGCAGACUGAUACACCAGCUGAGCCACCUGUGUCUUGACCACCUGCCCCAGAGGGGGCUAGUGGUCCGGCCCUGCGACCCAGACUCCGACACCCAGAUAUGGACAUUCAAACCUCCCCGUCCAGGCAAGCACUGACAGCCCCAGCGCUUGAGAGAAGUAGCGAUGGUGCAAUUACCCAUGUAAAGCAACUGGUCAGUUGAAUAGCUUAAUUUAACAGCUUGCUCCAUCACUUAGGCCAGCAGCUGUUAGUGUAUGCCAACCGUUCGGCCGGAUUUGUACCUUUUAAUUAAAUGUAUUUAUUUAUUUAUUUAUUUAUUUAUUUUUUGGCAAGCUAUUCUGCAAGUGUACUGCUGUUUUAUUGUUUCAGAACUUUUGAAGUGCAUGGAAGACAGAGAGUUCAAGGGCAGCAUUUUUCCUGCCCAGUUUUAGUGUACGUGUAAUUCACGAAUGAACCCCACUGUGGUAUUUUUUUUAAUCUAGUCCACCUGUCCAAAGAUCGGGCCACACAGAAAGAAAAAAUAUGAAUUUGCCCCGUGUCCAUCCAAGGUCCCUUUAAGUCUGUGUUCCUUUUGAACUGGAAAAAUCAACAUCAGAUCCAUCAGUUGAGUUUGAGGGAAACCUACUGUCUUUGCUGAUGACCUCCAAUUUUGCCUGAGAACAUUUUCCUAAUAAUAAUAUUCACCUGCUAUUAUCUUUUACAUUUAUACCUCAUGUUUGUAAAGAAUACAAACUUAAAAUGCAGAUUCAAAAAUAGAAUACAACUAAAUUUUAUUACAGAAUAUAUGAUAGUGCACAUGCGAACAAAAUAUAUUUCAAAUGCCCUCAUUAGUUUUGAAAAUCUGCCUUUUCUGCUGUGCAAGUCUUGCGGCUGCGGGCUCUGUCUCAAAUAUCCCAGUUGUAAAACGGUGAAAUGUUACUGUGUAACAGACACUCGUCACAUGUUGUUGCUCUGGGCCAAAUUUCACAGAGAUGCGAAGCAGAAAAAUGAAGUUAGCCAAAUUCAUAUGUGACGCCAAAAAAUGUGAGGCAUUUUGGUGAAAUGGUCAAGAGGUUGAGAAAUGAGUUCGCUGGUAUUAGGAAAGAUAAUAACGUUGUUGUUUGUUGUGCGUGAAUGGGACAUGCUGUUGACAAGUGAGAGCCUUUCCAAGAUUGCAUUUAUUGACUUGCCAAACAAGGAAAUAGUUCAAAAAAGGCCUUGAAGUAUUUAUUAAAAUGGAAGGAUGCCCAUUGUUUUUCACAGACAAAAAUUUUAUUUUAUGAUUUUUAAACCAUUUCUUUUCAAUCGUAGUGGACAAAACACAGGUUACAGAUAUCACUAAAUUUGAAAAAAAAAUUUACGUUUAUAGCAUUAGUCUCCACUACAGCCACUGUGUGCUUAGUUCCAUCAUGUUUUGCCUCACUGAUUAACUGAAAACUGCUCACGUGAGACAUUCUGAGCUUGACAUUUCGGCCGGGAAACUGAUUUUGUGUUGAUGUUCUAAGCAAAUCGCACCUGAAUGAAAUUGACACCGGACAUAUGUACCUCUUUAGUGAGGAUGGCAUCAGCGUUGUGCGCAUUCAGCUGUGUCGUGCAUUGUGUAUCUCUUGUGACCGGUUCCUUGCUGAUUUUUGCUUAGCAAAACAAAUAUUGCCUGGUGACAUUUUCUGCUUGGCACCUCUGUGAAAUGGGAGCCCUGUUUGCUGAGGCCAUUCAGCUCUCAUAUUGUCUGCUGGUCAGCUCUCAUUGCCAUAGGCAGGUUUCGCACACAGUCCAUAAGGUUUGGUGAAAGUUACUCAGCUAAUGUGCAUCGGGAUUUGAUAACUUAAAAUUGUGCUGAUUUCAGGUUUCUCCUAUCUCAAAAGGUGUUGCAAACUACACCCCAUGGAAUGGAACUUUGCAUAUCCCUGUUGUGUACCAAGCAUAUGCUGACAUGCACUGAGCCAGACCCACAUCUAUCUGGCGCAUUAUGGACAGACCAUCAGUAUCAUUAUUGGGAACUGCAUUUUAACUGUUCAUGCAAUUAAUUUAUGCUGACUCAACAGCUGUGCAUGCCAUUAAGUCCUGCAUAUGAACAGUAAAAGUUAAUUUCUAUUCUGCAGGGUGCUUUUCUUGGAAUGGGACAAAUGACAUUUUGCAGUGACUAGUUGAAGUAUUACGUUGCUUUAUCAGUGUCCAGCCACUUAGUAAUUAAUUCACAAAGGGAUAUUUAAUUGUUCUCUUAUGGUAUUUUUCCUUUAGAAAGACCAGCUUGUGAUUUUGAAGAUCGUUUUCCUGUGGAAGUGCUCCUCAGUGUACUGAUGGCCAUUGAUAUUAAUGCAACCAAAAUGUAGGCCAGUGGAAACUUUUUAAAACUGGCCUCUUGGGUAAUCGCACAUUGCCUUCACAUAGGGACUAUUCCUCCUACGUAGACAUAAAGCCGGGGCUCAAAAAUUAGAACAUACGUCUCUUGAAACCUGAACAGCAGGUUCAUUCAAAGACACCAUUGACUUCAUAUAGGUUUUCUGGUAUUGUGCCCACUACCCGGGCUUUGUGCGAGCAUUCAGUUUGUUGGUGUGAUCAGCCAAUCUGCUCAGUCGCUCGAAUCGGAAAGAAAAGGCGAUUUGCUGGUGUCAGCAUUAUCAACAGAUCCUUUGAUAAAAUUAACCACUUGCGCAAAGAUCAAUCGAUUGCGUAUAUCCACCGAUUGCGCCCAACGCACACACUAGCAAUUUGUACCAUCCGCCAUGAUCGGUUAUGGAAGGCAGUAUCCAAAAUGGCAUUGUUGUCCACAAGCUACAGGCUGCGGCUAGUCAUAGUAGUGUACUAUAAUGGUAUAAACACAAGCCGUAGACACCUAAUACCCAUUUCAGACAUGGCCCACAAUUGCAAACUACAAGGAUUGUGAGAUAUGUGACUGCAAGGGAUGUACAGAGAACUUUGCACUUUGCUGGGGAUUUCGACAGGAAUUUUUCCCUUAAAUAAGUUCUGUGCACGUUACAAAUCUCUCCAUAAAUGUAUAAAAGAAGGCAAAACAGUACUAUUUUUUAAUUUCUUGAUUAAAGGUCCGUGAGUUUGGUAUUUACUUUACACUGUUACAAUGUGCUGCGUAGCACAUUUUUAUUUUAUGUAUAUAGAAAAAUAUAUUGCGUUCAGGAAGUCUAGCCGCUCUCUUUUAUGGAAAAAAUGCUACAAGCAAAAAUGGAAACAAAAGCAUACAAAAAAAUUGGGCUGUAAUCUUUACUGCUCUCCUCUAAAUAGUUCUAUUGUUGGUGUUCCAUUGUGUUGAUUUAGCUUUGUCGAGUGGGAUAUCCCGGUCUUGGGUCUGGUAAAAGGAUUUUUUUCUUUAAGAACUACUGCCCAGUUGUUUAUGACAGGAUCCACUUUGGAAAGGUGGUUGUGCUAUUUUUCUUGGAAUAAUAUGUCUCCACGAGAAAAACUCGCCCCCCCCCGCCCUGCUGGAUAUGCCACUGGCUUUGGUGAUUUUCCACCUUCCUCAAGUUUACUGAAGGCAGACCCAGCUCUGGCUCAAGAGAGAGGUUUAGCUGUCGAGAGGGAAGUUUAAGAGGCAUUUCCUAUUGAUUUUUGUUUUCAUUUUGUUUUCAUACAUGUAGACGAAAAAAGUGGCCUUUCGUUAUUUUUCUAAACGAAUUUUUGGAAGGGGGGCCCUGCUGGCCCCCUGGAACCGUCCUUGUUUUUUCCCGUAAGCCUAUGGCUAAUUGACUGAUAGGCCAAUAGAUAUUUUGUCACUUUAAAGUAAUUUAUCGUUGAGAUGUAAUUCACUGUAAACAGGAAUUCACAAAUCCCAUCUGACUUUUAAUGAGUUUGUAAUCAUAGAUAGUUAUGUCACAGUGUUGAACAUAACGUUUGACGUUAGGCAUUUCCUGCAUAAGUGGCUGCGGCUACCUAUGAAGGUCACUGGCUAUGGGUCCAGCCAAAAUUCCAUAGACGUAUGCGUUACGCUUAGCCUCAGCGAGUUGAUUUUGACAGAGCCAUGCUCCAUGAUAAUAAUUAUUCAUAUACCCUUUAAUAUCAAGUUUCAGCCUGAAUCUUAUACCCUGACCUGUCUUGCAGGUGUUUCGUGGUUUUAGGAGAUCAAUGUCGGCCUCCGGCUACACGAUCCUCAGUGGUUAAGUUGUUAAGUCACCUGUCCAAAUUGAUUCAGUUUCUCUGAUUUGGCUUCAAUUUCCUGCGGUUUUAUCAUGCAAAUGCCGGAUUAAUUUGGAAAUGGUGCGUAGAAUCGCCAGAAACUGUCUCCGGGCAAGGUUUACUCGACGCCGAAAUUACUCAAAUUUCUGAGUGGUCAUGGUAACAGCUCAAAUCCGGGAAUAUCACUGUACUGGCCACAGAGUAGACUCGCUUCAAGUUUUUCCUGACCCAAAAAGUCCCAGCAAUGAUAUCACGUGCAGCUUUUAUUGGCUUAGUGCGUCAGUCGUUGAUAAAUUGAUAACACGCUGGAAUGGACGUGAUGCAGUGGGACUGACUUGUGCAAGUCUAGCCAUUGUCACUGCUUGUUCGCCAGGGGUUCACAGCUGAACACCUGUUUUCACUUCCUCUAAAUAAAAAAAAUCAAUGCUGGAAACUUGAAUUAGGUAUGGGUUUUUUAAUAAGUUCUAUUAGAUCAUAGAUAUAGCUUUCAUUUUAAUUUCCAGCCGUUUCCUUUAUCAUCGAAUUUUUGACUUCGCGCUCUGAUCAAAGGGUAUAGUACUGUACCCAUUGCGCGACAAGCCCGACCGUUUGGUAUAAUAUGCCUACCACUUUCCUUGUAUAGCAACGUUAAGUACUGGAAGGUUCCGACUCGAAACUUCGGUUGAGAUUUUUACCAGGGAAAUAAUCCAUCUCAGAGGUCUGGGAUAGUGCGUGAGAUGUUUACCAGGGAAAUAAUCCAUCUCUGAGGUCUGGGAUAGUGCGUGUCCUAAAAAUUGCUGGACGCAAGAAGUGAGUUCGCUGGGAUCUUUAGAAUUGGAUUCUUUUGAAAGGACUUUCUGUAACUGAACGAACAGGCCUUUUCAAAGUAGAGAACUGUCCGGAGCUCACUUUACGUUGCUGAUCAGCAGGAGUUUGCCCGCCAAAGUGACAGAGACUAAGUUAGUGCACUAGUCUUGUAGUGGUUAGUACAUUAUGCCGGCUAAUUUGAAGUAUCAUAGAAUCGUUCCGGGAAAUUCAGCUGCUUUGGUGUAAUGUAAUAACAACUGGGACAUAGAACUUUAUUGCGAGCUUACGGCUUCUCCGCGCUUCGUUUUACACUUCGACAAAAUAAUGGAUUUACUAGUUUAAAUUAAAAAAAAAGUAAGGCUGUCAUUGUGACCUCUUCACGAAGCAUUUGUAAUACCUUUUCCCGCUGACAAGGAAACAAGAUUUUCGUUUCCCUCGCGUAUUUUAGCUUGGGAGUUUAAAAAUGUAUUUUUUUCGAACUCAAUUAACCUGCUGCAAAGCAAAUAAUAGUAUUCAUGCUUAAUGAAGCCACCGUGUUUUGCUUGUCUGUUGAAAAAGCACAAGUGACGGACCACAUGUUGUUCGAAGACGGGGAUGGUUGAUUAUGAACAGUUGUAAUUUAUUGACAUUCAAUAGUGCAUUGCGUUGGGGGGGGAUUUGGCCAUCGACCGACGGAGUUCCCGAGAGGAGCCGACCAGAUAUUCUGGAAAUUUCAACACACUGGUGCUUAUCAGCCUUGAGCCUCCUCGUGUUGUUUACCGUACCGUUCCCAUCAAUAUUCUCGUCAGUGACAUUUCAACAGGUACUGAAUAUAGUUGUGACACACUCAAACUUGAUCAUACCGUGUACACGGCACGUAUGGAAAGAAAGUAAACAUUGAUUAUUGAAAUCAAAUUCGUAUCAGUUUAGUUAUAUUCUGUUUAUAAGUAGCUGCAGGCGAAGUAAGCCUGUGAGGCUAAUAUUUUAAUUUUUAUUGGACUUAAGUUUUUGAACAUUUAUAUUUAAUAUUUCCAAUUUAUUUAAAAAUGUCUGCUUUUUAGAAGUGCAAUUGAAAUUUUUAAAAUUGAAUUGAAGCUUUGUUUUUUAUGCUUACUUGAAAGAAGAGUGUCUUCAAUGCCUUGUAUAAUUAUACUAUACUGUAUAAAUGCUUCACCUUUGUAAAUUUUGUGUCUAUAGAUAAUAACUCCGCUGAAUGUGCCAUAUGGGUUUGAAGCUGUUGACGUUUUGUCUCAUUGGAAUUUAUGUUAAGAAAUUAAAUGUGGUGAGGAGCAUAAGGGGCUUUAUAAGCGCACAUAGUUAUCAAAAACAACCAAUCUACCAAUUGAGUGUACUUGAUUAUCGCAAGAUAAAAGAAAGCCUUGUAAGUGUGAGGAGGAAACCGA
rnacentral:misc_RNA from 1 species